AUUGAACGCUGGCGGCAGGCCUAACACAUGCAAGUCGAACGAGUGGCGGACGGGUGAGUAAUGUCUGGGAAACUGCCUGAUGGAGGGGGAUAACUACUGGAAACGGUAGCUAAUACCGCAUACCAUCGGAUGUGCCCAGAUGGGCUUAGCUAGUGGGUGGGGUAACGGAGAACAUAGGCGACGAUCCCUAGCUGGUCUGAGAGGAUGACCAGCCACCCUGGAACUGAGACACGGUCCAGACUCCUCCGGGAGGCAGCAGUGGGGAAUAUUGCACAAUGGGCGCAAGCCUGAUGCAGACAUGCCGCGUGUGUGAAGAAGGCCUUCGGGUUGUAAAGCACUUUCAGCGGGGAGGCGUUACCCGCAGAAGAAGCACCGGCUAACUCCGUGCCAGCAGCCGCGGUAAUUC
rnacentral:rRNA from 1 species